AGAGUUUCAUUCUGGCUCAGGAUGAACGCUGGCGGCGUGCUUAACACAUGCAAGUCGAACGAAGCACUUUAUUUGAUUUCCUUCGGGACUGAUUAUUUUGUGACUGAGUGGCGGACGGGUGAGUAACGCGUGGGUAACCUGCCUUGUACAGGGGGAUAACAGUUGGAAACGGCUGCUAAUACCGCAUAAGCGCACAGCAUCGCAUGAUGCAGUGUGAAAAACUCCGGUGGUAUAAGAUGGACCCGCGUUGGAUUAGCUAGUUGGUGAGGUAACGGCCCACCAAGGCGACGAUCCAUAGCCGACCUGAGAGGGUGACCGGCCACAUUGGGACUGAGACACGGCCCAAACUCCUACGGGAGGCAGCAGUGGGGAAUAUUGCACAAUGGGCGAAAGCCUGAUGCAGCGACGCCGCGUGAGCGAAGAAGUAUUUCGGUAUGUAAAGCUCUAUCAGCAGGGAAGAUAAUGACGGUACCUGACUAAGAAGCACCGGCUAAAUACGUGCCAGCAGCCGCGGUAAUACGUAUGGUGCAAGCGUUAUCCGGAUUUACUGGGUGUAAAGGGAGCGCAGGCGGUGCGGCAAGUCUGAUGUGAAAGCCCGGGGCUCAACCCCGGUACUGCAUUGGAAACUGUCGUACUAGAGUGUCGGAGGGGUAAGCGGAAUUCCUAGUGUAGCGGUGAAAUGCGUAGAUAUUAGGAGGAACACCAGUGGCGAAGGCGGCUUACUGGACGAUAACUGACGCUGAGGCUCGAAAGCGUGGGGAGCAAACAGGAUUAGAUACCCUGGUAGUCCACGCCGUAAACGAUGAAUACGAGGUGUUGGGAAGCAAUGCCUUUUCGGUGCCGUCGCAAACGCAGUAAGUAUUCCACCUGGCGAGUACGUUCGCAAGAAUGAAAUCCAAGGGAAUAGACGGGGACCCGCACAAGCGGUGGAGCAUGUGGUUAAUUUCGAAGCAACGCGAAGAACCUUACCAAGUCUUGACAUCCUUCUGACCGGUACUUAACCGUACCUUCUCUUCGGAGCAGGAGUGACAGGUGGUGCAUGGUUGUCGUCAGCUCGUGUCGUGAGAUGUUGGGUUAAGUCCCGCAACGAGCGCAACCCUUAUCUUUAGUAGCCAGCGGUCUGGCCGGGCACUCUAGAGAGACUGCCAGGGAUAACCUGGAGGAAGGCGGGGAGGACGUCAAAUCAUCAUGCCCCCUAUGACUUGGGCUACACACGUGCUACAAUGGCGUAAACAAAGGGAAGCAAAGCUGUGAAGCCGAGCAAAUCUCAAAAAUAACGUCUCAGUUCGGACUGUAGUCUGCAACCCGACUACACGAAGCUGGAAUCGCUAGUAAUCGCAGAUCAGAAUGCUGCGG
rnacentral:rRNA from 1 species